rnacentral:rRNA from 1 species
UGGGGAAUAUUGCACAAUGGGCGAAAGCCUGAUGCAGCGACGCCGCGUGAGGGAUGACGGCCUUCGGGUUGUAAACCUCUUUCAGCUCCGACGAAGCGAAAGUGACGGUAGGAGCAGAAGAAGCACCGGCCAACUACGUGCCAGCAGCCGCGGUAAUACGUAGGGUGCAAGCGUUGUCCGGAAUUAUUGGGCGUAAAGAGCUCGUAGGCGGUUUGUCGCGUCGGCUGUGAAAACCUGGGGCUCAACCCCGGGCCUGCAGCCGAUACGGGCAGACUAGAGUUCGGCAGGGGAGACUGGAAUUCCUGGUGUAGCGGUGAAAUGCGCAGAUAUCAGGAGGAACACCGGUGGCGAAGGCGGGUCUCUGGGCCGAUACUGACGCUGAGGAGCGAAAAGCGUGGGGAGCAAACA